rnacentral:misc_RNA from 1 species
UCCAUCCAAACCAUAAGUCCAAGCCUGCAUAAAAAGAUUGGAUACACAUUAAAUCAUGAACUAGCUUAUUAUAAGAAUAGAUGCUAAAAUUCAGUAUAUUCAUAUGGCAAAGCAAACUCAAUUCCUUCAGUUAUGAAUUCUAUAUAUUUAAGUUAUGGUUUAAGGGAGGAAAUGAAAUGAAAAGAAUAGGAGAUAUUACCCAUGGUAACUUCUUAAAUCCUAGAGAGAUGUAAGGUUGUAAACAGUCAUAUAUCAUGUGCUAGUGAAUAAUGUAAAGCUUGGCUGGAGGAAAAGAAAAUGUACGAUAGAAAAUAGACCAAGAAAAAAACAAAUACCACAGUGGCACAGCCUAACAUUGCUCCCACCAGUCUGAUGAUGUAGCACUUGAGGUUAGAAUUCAUCAAUCCAAUUCAACUAAAUAAGCAACAUUAGAAAAUUUAGCAACCAAACUGUGUUUCAAAAUCUAGGUGCCACUGCUAUGCUAACAAACCAUGGUCAACUAUAAAAGUUCCAACCUUGUCCACCUUUGAAGUGGACUGAUUUAAGCAUUGUCUACUGUCUUCUUGUUGGCUCAGAGAAGGAACGCCUAACCCGCCACUAAUCACUUAAUGAAUCACUGGAGCAAUUAUUUUGGUUUAUAUCCAUCACACAAAAGCUGUUCCCAAUCUAAGACGAACCACGAUGUUUUGGCAACAAUCAAGGAUGAAUAUAUAUACAUACACAAUAUACAUACAUACAUAUACAUAUAUGACAUGUCCCAAACCUUGUCCACCUGAUGCGUCUCUCCAUAAUAUGAGGCCUUGUAACCCAUGUAUCCAGAUCAUUAAACUUUGAUCAUCAUUUACCUAUGAUAUGAAUUUGCCAUAUCCUCUUUAUUAACAAUGUGGUGAAUCACAAAGCACUAUUGCAAGAGAUAUAUAUAGCUGAACCUAUACUAUUCUUUGUUUAUGAUCAAGAUUAAAAUAAUGCAAGAAAAGGGGCUGAGGGAAUUCCAAAAUGUUUGCAUGAAGCAGCACAGAUAAACUCACAUGGUAAGGGCAUACAAAGCAAG